UUCCAUUUGGUAUCAAUUUGCUAAGAGCAAAAGAGGAACAACCGAGAGCUAAGCUAUCUUUUCUCCAACCCCAAAACUGAGAGUAGAAGUGAGAGUGAGGGAAAGAAAUUUUGCUAGCUUCAACACUUGCUAACCACAACCAAGAGAGAGUAAAGCAAGGAGAACUGGAGCGAGAAUCUAGUGCAAGAAAUUUGAGGAACCGAAGCAGAGAAUUAGGGCAGUCUGCAAUUAUCAAAUUCUAGGGGAAAAGAGAUUUGGACUCCAAAUCAGGAGUACUACCUGAGCGUGAUCUGUAAAAGCACUACAUCUUUGGGGUACGAGCAAGGCGUGAGACGUGUACAAACUAGCGUAGUCUAGCUGUUUUGAAUUUUGACUUGUACUCGCGCUAUCACUCGAUUAGGAUGAUUUGUACUUGUACUUAUGUGAGAAUUGAGGGCCUUUGUCUUAUUCGAAAAAUUGGUAUUGUUUGUAUCUUUUGUGGUUUAGUUUGAAGUACAAUUAGAUUUACGGAUCUUUGGAUGUAAUAUUUGAGAUUUAUACUGUACUUCAAUUGAGAACUGAAGCGAACGACUGAAUCCCGGCGAGAGUUGGGCAGGCGGUCCGCCGAACCCUUUGGUUCGCCUUAGGGGGAGGUGAGAUCGUCACAUUAUUGGGUGCAAGUAUUCAGCUGGGAGUGGAGUUCUCAAAAUCACUCGAAGUGCUCUUGUUGUUAUGAAGGCACACAGAUCUGAUACUUUGUAUAUUUUGCAGGGAUCUAUUGUUACAGGUGCUGCUGCUAUUUUAACAUCAACUUUAUCCGAUUCUGAUUUUACCAAAUUAUGUCACAUGAGAUUGGGCACAUAAGUGAGAAAGGCUUAUCUAUUUUAUGCAAACGAGAUCUUCUUGGUAGUCAAAAUAUUGGAAAGAGAGGAUUCUGUGAACAUUGCAUUUUUGAAAAGCAGAAGAGAGUUAGCUUCCAGUUGCCGGUAGUUCACAGGACAAAAAGAACUUUGGACUACAUUCAUUCAGACCUCUGGGGGCCUUCUCGUGCUCCUUCUAAAGGAGGUGCCAAGUACAUAUUGACUUUCAUUGAUGAUUAUUCAAGAAAAGUUUGGGUA